CUGUUGUCUGCACGACGAUGUGGACAAUGGGAGAUGAAUCAAUGUUGGAAUCAUACAUUGUAUUUGUCGGCAAAAUAUAUGCAACAAAGCAUACUGCUAGUUAUAUAUAUAUUGAUUGGGCUCUGGAUAUAUUGAUGCCCGAGCACCUAAGAUGGCACACGUGGUGCCGCAUGGGUCACGAGUCCCAACCAUAUGGAUCAGAUAUAUCCCCGAUUAGGCAUGCAAAUUAGUCGAGCCGCUUGCGAGCUAUUUGACUUCGACUCGACUCGAUUAUUAUCGAGCACGAGUACCCCAAUAGUUUUUCAAGUCCA
rnacentral:lncRNA from 1 species